UCACGAACAAGGCAAACCUACCGAAAGGUAGGGACGCAAAGCUUCCGGCCUAAGAGUCGUCGGAGUUUUUAUGAACUCAGUCAACUUAUGGUAGCGGGGUUGCCGAU
rnacentral:ncRNA from 1 species